AAUAAGCGGAGGAAAAGAAACUAACAAGGAUUCCCCUAGUAACUGCGAGUGAAGCGGGAUAAGCUCAAAUUUAAAAUCUGGUAGCUUCGCUGCCCGAGUUGUAAUCUGGAGAAGUGCUUUCCGUGCUGGACCGUGUACAAGUCUCUUGGAACAGAGCGUCAUAGAGGGUGAGAAUCCCGUCUUUGACACGGACUACCAGUGCUUUGUGAUGCGCUCUCAAAGAGUCGAGUUGUUUGGGAAUGCAGCUCAAAAUGGGUGGUAAAUUCCAUCUAAAGCUAAAUAUUGGCGAGAGACCGAUAGCGAACAAGUACCGUGAGGGAAAGAUGAAAAGAACUUUGGAAAGAGAGUUAAACAGUACGUGAAAUUGCUGAAAGGGAAACGCUUGAAGUCAGUCGCGUUGGCCGGAACUCAGCCUGGCUUUUGCUUGGUGCAUUUUCUGGUCGACGGGUCAGCAUCAGUUUUGACUGUCGGAUAAUGGUCGGGGGAAUGUGGCAUCUUCGGAUGUGUUAUAGCCCUCGGUCGCAUACGAUGGUUGGGACUGAGGAUCUCAGCACACCUUUAUGGUCGGGGUUCGCCCACGUUUGUGCUUAGGAUGCUGGCAUAAUGGCUUUAAACGACCCGUCUUGAAACACGGACCAAGGAGUCUAACAUGCGUGCGAGUGUUUGGGUGUAAAACCCGAGCGCGUAAUGAAAGUGAAAGUUGAGAUCCCUGUCGUGGGGAGCAUCGACGCCCGGACCAGACCUUCUGUGACGGCUCUGCGGUGGAGCAUGUAUGUUGGGACCCGAAAGAUGGUGAACUAUGCCUGAAUAGGGUGAAGCCAGAGGAAACUCUGGUGGAGGCUCGUAGCGAUUCUGACGUGCAAAUCGAUCGUCAAAUUUGGGUAUAGGGGCGAAAGACUAAUCGAACCAUCUAGUAGCUGGUUCCUGCCG
rnacentral:rRNA from 2 species